ACGAACGCUGGCGGCGCGCCUAACACAUGCAAGUCGAACGGAGCUGAGAGGAGCUUGCUUUUCUUAGCUUAGUGGCGAACGGGUGAGUAACGCGUGAGUAACCUGCCCUGGAGUGGGGGACAACAGUUGGAAACGACUGCUAAUACCGCAUAAGCCCACGGCCCGGCAUCGGGCUGAGGGAAAAGGAUUUAUUCGCUUCAGGAUGGACUCGCGUCCAAUUAGCUAGUUGGUGAGGUAACGGCCCACCAAGGCGACGAUUGGUAGCCGGACUGAGAGGUUGAACGGCCACAUUGGGACUGAGACACGGCCCAGACUCCUACGGGAGGCAGCAGUGGGGGAUAUUGCACAAUGGGGGAAACCCUGAUGCAGCGACGCCGCGUGGAGGAAGAAGGUUUUCGGAUUGUAAACUCCUGUCGUUAGGGACGAUAAUGACGGUACCUAACAAGAAAGCACCGGCUAACUACGUGCCAGCAGCCGCGGUAAAACGUAGGGUGCAAGCGUUGUCCGGAAUUACUGGGUGUAAAGGGAGCGCAGGCGGACCGGCAAGUUGGAAGUGAAAACUAUGGGCUUAACCCAUAAAUUGCUUUCAAAACUGCUGGCCUUGAGUAGUGCAGAGGUAGGUGGAAUUCCCGGUGUAGCGGUGGAAUGCGUAGAUAUCGGGAGGAACACCAGUGGCGAAGGCGACCUACUGGGCACCAACUGACGCUGAGGCUCGAAAGCAUGGGUAGCAAACAGGAUUAGAUACCCUGGUAGUCCAUGCCGUAAACGAUGAUUACUAGGUGUUGGAGGAUUGACCCCUUCAGUGCCGCAGUUAACACAAUAAGUAAUCCACCUGGGGAGUACGACCGCAAGGUUGAAACUCAAAGGAAUUGACGGGGGCCCGCACAAGCAGUGGAGUAUGUGGUUUAAUUCGAAGCAACGCGAAGAACCUUACCAGGUCUUGACAUCCGAUGCAUAGCUUAGAGAUAAGUGAAGUCCUUCGGGACAUCGAGACAGGUGGUGCAUGGUUGUCGUCAGCUCGUGUCGUGAGAUGUUGGGUUAAGUCCCGCAACGAGCGCAACCCUUAUUGCCAGUUACUACGCAAGAGGACUCUGGCGAGACUGCCGUUGACAAAACGGAGGAAGGUGGGGAUGACGUCAAAUCAUCAUGCCCUUUAUGUCCUGGGCUACACACGUACUACAAUGGCUAUAACAAAGAGAAGCGAGACAGUGAUGUGGAGCAAAACUCAAAAAAAUAGUCUCAGUUCGGAUUGAAGGCUGAAAUUCGCCUUCAUGAAGCCGGAAUUGCUAGUAAUGGCAGGUCAGCAUACUGCCGUGAAUACGUUCCCGGGCCUUGUACACACCGCCCGUCACACCAUGAGAGUUGGGGAUACCCGAAGCCUGUGAGCCAACAGUUAAAUGGGGCAGCAGUCGAAGGUAGAAUCAAUGAUUGGGGUG
rnacentral:rRNA from 1 species